rnacentral:sRNA from 1 species
UUCAUAAGAAGCAGUAUAAGUAUAUAUACUCUCUUUUUGUUUUGUUUUGUUUUCUCAUCUUUGUGUGUGUUCUUCUUCUUUACUUUAGACUUUAGUUCAUGCCUAUCUGGAUCUACGCUUCGCUGGCCUUUUCCUCUGAUUAACCUUCUUCCCCGGCUGUUUCUUCCCGAAGGCAGAGCAGCACCCAAACGCCGACAGUCUCGGCGACGGCG